UCUUUUUGUGUUUCUCUGCUAGCAAACGACUGAUUCUUCUCAAAAAUAGAAAAAUUAUGUAUAUGUUCCCCCAACAAAUUUGAUCUUAUAUUUGGUAGGAAUUAGGGUUUAAUUUUUCAUCAGUCUUCUGUUAGUGAUGAAAAUUGGCAUUUCUUUGAUGAGUUUUGCGAUAUUAUCAGUUGUGCUCAUGGAGAUAUUCGCCUCAGAGUUAGAUUUUUCUAUUACGGUUCAGAUUUAGAUUUGAUUACAAAUGAUAAAUGGUUCUUCAUCAAAUCGCAACAAUUUUGUUCUUCUCCGAUCUGAUUUUGCUGAUCUACAACAUUGAGGGUGGCACUGGCAAUGAUCAUACAAUAAGGUUCUCGUGGAGAAAUAGACCAGGAGAAUCUCUUCGUGAUAAAUUUAGUUCAGGAGCAAUAAAGUAUGCACAUAAAUGAACUGAGAUAAACACAUCUAUCCAUUGUUUGUUUCAAGUCUCCACUAACUGCAUGUGCCUUCUCUUUAGUCCAACUACGACAGUUGGCAGUUCCCAUAUGUAGAUAGUAACUUGGUGUAAGUUUUGAAUUUGUUGAUAAAAUUUGCAUAUAUAGACUCUGACAGUCAUAGCUAGAGUAUGCAAAUUCUUAGAGAAAGCCACUGAGUUAUUCGUACGCGAAAGUUGAGUCAUUCUCCAACGGCUUGUCCCCACCAUGUAUGAAACUGCUUAACUCCAUUUUAAGGAAGAGUUGCGCAUUUUUCAACCUAGAUGCAAGACAUUUUUAAGGUUGUGUUAAUGAAAUGUUCAUCUUUGUCCCUUUAGGUUGCCCAUUUGUCUUCCUCUUCUCCAUGCCAUGUAAUUCCACUAAUUUGCUUCUUUGGAUCUUUUUCCUUAUUUUUUUUUUUGGGUCCUACUUGUUUUAUCUUCUCUUGUCCCUUUUGAGUAUAUACCUUGUAAUAAAUAUAUGAAAAUUUUUGCUUGUCUUUACUACUUCUCUAUGUCUUUGUGAGCAUUAGUUGAUUUGUUGCGAGAAUUUUCAGGAUUUGGUGAGCACAGUCUUGCACUGCCGGUCCGGUGACCAGUAAUUUCCCUGUACCCGGUUUCCCAUCAACUUCAGGACCUUUCACUACUGGUUUGCUAUAAAAAAAACAAACUUCUAGCUAGAUCUGUUGUAAAUAGUCAUUUAGAUAGCAAAAGAACUUCUAUUGAUUCAAAUAUGUGCACAAAAAAUGAUAGUUUUUAUACACGUAAAGUAGAUUUUUUAUAGAUGUGUAUAUAGUUGUCCACCAAUGUGCUAUCUCAAUAAUAUAUGUAUGUUUUGUGGGUAUAAAUGAUGGAUUUUUGUAAGUGUGUACAUAGUUGUACACCAUUAUGUUCUCUCAUGAUUUAUGGCCAUUUUUGUGGGUAUGUAUGUUGGAUUUGUUGGAUUUUUGUUGGCGUGUACACCAUUGUACACCAUUAUACAAUCUCAAUAAUAUAUAUAUGACAUGUUUUGCUUGUAUGGA